rnacentral:rRNA from 1 species
UACGUAGGGGGCAAGCGUUAUCCGGAAUCACUGGGUGUAAAGGGAGCGUAGACGGCUGAGCAAGCCUGAAGUGAAAGGCGGGGGCCCAACCCCUGGACUGCUUUGGGAACUGUACGGCUGGAGUGCAGGAGAGGUAAGUGGAAUUCCUAGUGUAGCGGUGAAAUGCGUAGAUAUUAGGAGGGACACCAGUGGCGAAGGCGGCUUACUGGACUGUAACUGACGUUGAGGCUCGAAAGCGUGGGGAGCAAACAGG